rnacentral:rRNA from 1 species
AUUGAACGCUGGCGGCAGGCCUAACACAUGCAAGUCGAGCGAGCGGCGGACGGGUGAGUAAUGUAUGGGGACUGCCCGAUAGAGGGGGAUAACUACUGGAAACGGUGGCUAAUACCGCAUACUAUCGGAUAACCCAUAUGGGAUUAGCUAGUGGGUGGGGUAAAGGCUCACCUAGGCGCCGAUCUAUAGCUGGUCUGAGAGGAUGAUCGUCCACACUGGGACGGAGACACGGCCCAGACUCCUACGGAGGCAUCAGUGGGGAAUCUUGCACAAUGGGCGCAAGCCUGAUGCAGCCAUACCGCGUGUAUGAUGAAGGCCUUAGGGUUGUAAAGCACUUUCAUCGGGGAGGCGUUACCCGCAGAAGAAGCACCGGCUAACUCCGUGCCAGCAGCCGCGGUAAUUC